GCGCCCUACGGGAGGCAGCAGUGGGGAAUAUUGCACAAUAGGGGAAACCCUGAUGCAGCGACGCCGCGUGGGUGAAGAAGUAUUUCGGUAUGUAAAGCCCUAUCAGCAGGGAAGAAAAAUGACGGUACCUGACUAAGAAGCACCGGCUAAAUACGUGCCAGCAGCCGCGGUAAUACGUAUGGUGCAAGCGUUAUCCGGAUUUACUGGGUGUAAAGGGAGCGCAGGCGGCACGCUAAGCCUGAUGUGAAAACCCGCGGCCCAACCGCGGGAGUGCAUUGGGAACUGGCGGGCUGGAGUCCCGGAGG
rnacentral:rRNA from 1 species